GAGCAUUUCACCCCAGAUUUGCUGUAAAUACCUUCAUGCAUUUGGAACUCUGUGUGAUAUCUGUCAGACAUGAAUCUAAAUAUGGAACAGCAUUACAUUUAAACAUGUUUUAAAGGAGAUUCAGUGAAAUUUUUGCAAGAGACGACAAGAAUUAUUUGCAUAACUAAAGUGGAGAUUAAGUGAUCAGAGUCUCUCUGAGGAAGUGUGAUUUGAUACAGAAAAAUAUAGGUGAGUUCAAAACCAUGUGUCUGCAUUCCAGGAGAAAAGGCCUCAGAUCCAGUGAAGGAAAGUUAAUAAAAAGAAUGUCUGGUAUUGGAGCAAAGGUCACAAGACAUGAAGGGAGUACCAACGGACACUUUCUCAUAUCUAAGAUCUCUGAUUCAUAAUGGAGUUGAUUAGGAGUCUAAGUAUGUUACAGAUGACAUUAUCAUUAGAAGAGGGCAUUCCAUAAAUGUGCAAGAUGUCUGAUUAUCACAGAAUAAAUUUUUCAUACUUGCUUUGUGAUUGAUCAAUCUGGAGCUAAACGUGGGCUUCGUUUACAAAUGUGAUUGCUUAAGUAUGAAAAUUUGCCAAAAUUGUAUGUUUGGAAGACUAAUUUGCUCCCCCAAGCCCUGAAAUGAAGACGCAAGACACCAAUUCUUUGGGUUUAAAUAUGGGCCACACUUUUAUUAAAACCAAUUUCUUUCAUCCAAAUAACCAAAGCCAAAUUGAGGGGGCCUGCGGUAGUGUGGGGAAAUAACGCCAAAUAAUUCCUUAUUAGUCAAUGGGCGAGUCCCAGGCCCCAGGUUCCAGGUGUCUAGCAACCGGAGGAACCUGCAAGGCCUAAAUAAAAACACCACGGACCU